ACGGGAGGCAGCAGUGGGGAAUAUUGCACAAUGGGCGCAAGCCUGAUGCAGCGACGCCGCGUGAGCGAAGAAGUAUUUCGGUAUGUAAAGCUCUAUCAGCAGGGAAGAUAAUGACGGUACCUGACUAAGAAGCACCGGCUAAAUACGUGCCAGCAGCCGCGGUAAUACGUAUGGUGCAAGCGUUAUCCGGAUUUACUGGGUGUAAAGGGAGCGUAGGCGGUUUUACAAGUCUGAUGUGAAAGCCCGGGGCUCAACUCCGGUAUUGCAUUGGAAACUGUAGAACUAGAGUGUCGGAGGGGUAAGUGGAAUUCCUAGUGUAGCGGUGAAGUGCGUAGAUAUUAGGAGGAACACCAGUGGCGAAGGCGGCUUACUGGACGAUUACUGACGCUGAGGCUCGAAAGCGUGGGGAGCAAACAGGAUUAGAUACCCUGGUA
rnacentral:rRNA from 1 species